rnacentral:lncRNA from 1 species
CAGCAGUUGUAUUCCAGAAAUGCCAGCUCGUAGCUAGAAAACCGGGUAAAUACCAGCAAAACAUGGUGACUGCACAAGGCAGGACGGACCCAAAUCAGGCCACGGGGACAUCAAUUCAGUUCUGUAACAUAAUAGCAAGUUCGGACCUAGAACCAGUCCUGAAAGAAUUCCCAACAUAUCUUGGUAGGCCAUGGAAAGAAUAUUCAAGAACUGUAGUGAUGGAAUCAUACUUAGGUGGUCUCAUUAAUCCAGCGGGUUGGGCUGAGUGGGACGGAGAUUUUGCGUUGAAGACAUUGUAUUAUGGUGAAUUUAUGAACAAUGGACCUGGUGCUGGUACUAGUAAGCGUGUCAAGUGGCCUGGUUAUCAUGUCAUUACUGAUCCCGCUAAAGCUAUGCCGUUCACUGUGGCUAAGCUGAUUCAGGGCGGAUCAUGGUUGAGGUCUACUGGCGUGGCGUAUGUGGAUGGAUUAUAUGAUUAGAGUAUAUAUAUGAUGUGCCACAUGAGCAGGGCAGAGCAAGCAUAACACACAACUCUAGUGUGACAAGCAUUUACAUGGCUCAUUCGUUACUACUAAGUUGUCAAUAAGUUCUGUUUAGGGGUUCAUAAGUUUAUAUACGUAUAUACAUUUACAUUGGUGAUGAAGCUGAAACUGAUGAUGCUUUAAUGUAAUUAUAGUUUUCUGAAAAAGGAUAUGAGUAAUAUUAGUUUUUCCCAGAUGUGUAUGGUUGUGGAACUGUUUAUGCUUAAAUUGGCAAGGGGUAUUGAAUAAAAAUCUAUUGUGUUACCUUUUGGCUGUUUCAUAUUUAUUCUUUUUUUUUUUUGAUCUAUUUUGAUUUCAUAGUUGGAAAAUUACGUGAUUAAUCAUACUUAUAGUAGUUAAUUACCUAACAUGGCUACAAUUUGUAUUAAUUACAAUUCGAAACUUACUUCUAGCUAUAAUUGCAUUCCCAUCUCUCUCUCCCUCUCUCAAGAAUCUCGCUCACAACUCUUUUUUUUUGAGUCAUAUAUCCUUGCAAGUCUCUCUCGGUUCUCUUCUAUCAGUGUCUCUUUUACUUUAUACAAGCAAAAAUUAUACAAAUAUAUAAUUUUUGUUCGUGUUUGUAUUAAGUGAGAGAGAGACCGGAUAUGCAAAUACAAAAUAUAUCUCUUUGCCCUAUACACUUGUAUUUUUUAUACAAAUACAAUUCUCUCCCUGCCUAGUUCUCUCUCUCUCUCUCUCUUUUUCUUUCUCUCUCGCUUUAUACAAACACAAAUUACAUCAUUGAUACAUAUACAUAGUAGUAUACAAAUACAAUUUAUCUCACUCCACUUCCGCCCACUCUAGCUCAUCUCUCUCCUGCCUUUCUCAAUCUCGCACGCCACUCUCCUUUCUCUAACAUGUAGCUACAAAUAGUAAUUAGCAUAUUAUAGUUAUGAAGCAUAAUUAAAUUGUUUUUGAGUAGCUAUAUGUGAAAAUUCUUAAUUUUUGAGUGGCUAGCUAUAAAUCUUUUCUAAUUUUUUGUUCAAAUAUUCGAUCAAAGUUGAUGAUAAUUUGAAUAUUAGCAAAUUUAAGAAAAUAUCAAUAUAUUUUGCCUAAAGUUUAUUGCCAUACAAAUAUAAUCACAUAACAAAGAAUUAAUACAUAAUUAACUUAUUGUGAAAUGAGGUCUUGGGCCUAACUCACAUCCUAAAAGCUAGCUCAAAUUAGUAUAAAAUUUUUGUUAUUCUUUAACUACGUCACCUUGCACCCGUUGCCUAACAUCUAGUGCAUAGACAAUUUAAUUUUGGGGCCCGAACAUUGAGUGAGAUUGACCGACUUUGAUAUCAUGUGAAAUUAGAUUUUGAGCUCAGCUUACACCUCAAAAAUUAGCUUAAAGGGAGGAAGAUUGUCCAAAUCUUAUAAGGACUUCACCAUCUCAAUAACCACUAGUGUGGAUUUUUGUCAUUUUUUAACAAUUCUUAUCAACAUAUCCGAAAUAAGCAAUAUUGCAAUGCAAUAUAGCUAUGGGGCGUAAUUAUUGAAACUAUAACUAUAAAGCCUUAUUAUGUUUAGUAUAUUUGUUGUUUCUCAAUAUACACCGAGUAUACAUGAAAAAUAUUUCGACUAUUUAAUUUUGAUCAACUUAGAAGAACCUUUUAAACAAUUCCAAAAUUUUAAUAUGAAAAUUCUCUUAGAUAUUUCGAGUGCUCGAAAAAAUUGGAAGAAGAAACUGACACGACAAUGAUAUCUCUUGCUAGCUUAACAAUAAUAUAAAAAGUGUUUGUUAAUAUUUGUAGUUGAAUUAGUUAUAUUAGAAUAGAUUUAUCUGAAUUAGAUUCUUUUUGAAGUAUAAAUCUAACCAAGAAGGCAAAUGAAAUAAUUGGACAAACUCACCUUAUGAUACAUUUUAUAGAGUAUUUAACGAAAGUGAAAAGACUAAUCAGAAUAAAUAUCAUUAAGAAGAUUAAACUAUGUACAACUAAUAAUAACAAAGAAAUUUUAUAUUCUAAAAUAUGAGUGAAGAAUGUAAAAAGAAGAUACAAUUACACACAAGAAUUAUAGGAAUAGUAAAUAAAAAAUUUUCUUGGCAAAGUUAAAUUUAUAGAAUAAAAUUACAGAAAUAUGAAAAGACACGUGAAAAAUUGAAAGGUCAAAUAUUAUUAAAAUAAAUAUAAAAAAGAUAGAGAUGAAAUUUAACUUUAAAAGAUACAUGAAUCUACUUUAAUUUCUUGUCUUUAAAGAAUAAUUACUUAUUUGUAUUUUUUAAAAUUUGUGUGAGAAAUUUGAAAGGUUCAAGAUUUUGAAAUGAGAAUAAGAAGAUUAUAUGAAAAUUAUAAAAGUUUUAAUUUAGUAGAGGGGCAAAAUAGUAAUUCAAUUUUUUACUUUGCAGCUUUCCAUUUAUAAUAUGAUACUAGUAUUAUUAUAAGUGGGAAGAACUCAAGUCAAAAGUUGAAUUACGAUUUUACCCUCCUAUAAAUUAAAAUGUUAUAAUUAGUUUAAUUAAAUAAUAAUAACUUUUGAAUUUUCUUAGAUUAAUUCCUAUUAUUAUUAUUGUUGUUGUUGUUGUUGUUGUUGUUAUUAUUAUUAUUAAAAGUGAAAAAAGCUUUUAGCUUCAAAAUUGAUUACCAUUUUACCCCUACUGUAAGUAAAAAUGUUAUAAAAUAUUUAAUUAGUCAAAUAUUAGAAUUCUCAAUAAGUUUUUUCUAAUAUAUAUUUGUAUUUCAAAUUUUUAUGCAACCUAUAAUUACAAUAUUUAAUAUGUAUUAACCUCUCACAAUUGAAUUAUUAUUAUUAUUAUUAUUAAUUAUGAUAAAAAAUCUUAUUCUGCAUACCUUAACUAUAAGUUAAAUAAAAUUCAUUUAAUUAAUUUUUCAGUUACAUAAAUUGAACGGGAUUUGAAAGUGGAAAAGUGAUUGUUUAAUGUCCAGAGUCAUACAUGAUUAAUUGCUUUAAAUUAACACAUCAUGUAUUACUUUACCAAACUCUUUCAAUUCCUAUAAUUUGUCUUCUGAUUUUCUUAAUUUGUCUCAUCAAAUUCUAACACUUUUAAUUUAGUAACCAAUCUUUAUUAAUAAACAUCAGUAGAACUUGAAUAGUUCAUUAAGUAUUUAAGUGUAAGUUAAUUAGUAUUAUGUCAAAAGAAAUUUGAAAGAACAUAAAAAAACACUAUAUAAAGGAAACAAAUGAUUUUCAUUUCCUUCAAGUUUUAUUUCUUUAGUUAAACAUCUAACACCCCUUCUAAAUUUCUUUCUUUUCCCUUAAAUUUUUUCGUUUGCAUGAACUAAAGAAAAUGGGAAUGAAGAAACAUGUAGAGUUGAUAAAUGUUGGAAUUAAAUGAUUGUCAUAUCAAUUUACAUGCAACACUCAACAUUCAUUGAAUGAUAUAUGAAGAUUACUUAGUCCUUAAGGAGUGCUAGCAGAAAUUCAUGAGCUAUGAAAAGGAGGAAAUUGAUUUCUUUGGAAUACUGAUUUUAAAAUUUUCAUUAAUUGAUUUUAUUCUUAUAAUGUACUGUAAUUAUAAUUGCUUGAGACUAUAGAUAAAAUGCUAUGUUAUUUGUGUAUUUGGAAGGAGUUAUAAAAAUGAUAUCUUGUAGUAUGCCUUCAUGGCAUCAUGUGAUUGGUAUUGAAAAAUUAUAUUGUAACUUUUUUUGUAUUUUGUAAUGUUUCUUUAUAUGUAUCUUCAUAUUGGAACUUACUAAUUUAUUUUACAAAAGAAUUAGGAGCAUAUGCAUCAUAAAUAAAUAUAGUAUCAAACUUUUUAAAGGAAAAUUUUCUUUCAUUUUGAUAAAAACUAUUUUAGCUACUACAAGAUAUAGGGAUCUUCACUUAAAUAGUCGGAUAUAUUUACUAUUACUUUUUCUAGCCUAUAUAUAUAUACUAGUUUUCGAGCACGCGCUUUGCGUGUGUAACCCAUGAGUGUAUUAUUUCUUAAAAGAUAAUAUUACUAAAUAAUAAAAUGUCUAAUUGAGAUUUUUUACUUUGUUUUACUACUAAUUGUGACACUCCAAUUUUCUGACCUCCAAGUGAAUGCAUCAAGAUAAUAAUACGAGAAAUUAAUAAAAUAAACUUUGUUUGUAAUUAAAAAAAUAAGUUUGCAAAGCUAAAAGGAAAAAUAACAACUAUCUAAAUUAAAUUUCUUGAUAGUUCCGUUUUAUUGGUAGAAUAAUGCUAGAUAGUGUAAGAUUAACUUUGAGUGAAGAAAAACAAAACCUUUCAACUUUAUUAAUGAAUGUGUUUUAUGUAUUGUAUUAAAUUUUUAUCCACAAACACUUUAAACUAAUUAGUUAACUAUAAAUAUUUAAAAUUAAGAUGUAAAAAGUUUUAUCAUUUAUAUUUAAAAAAUCAGGAUAUUUAUGAAUAACUACUAUUUUUAUAUAAAAUUUAAUUCUGUCAUACAUAACUUAAUCCACCAUUAAUCUAAUAUUAUAUGUUUCAGCUUUUUUUUUUCAUAAAAAGAAUUGAAAAGAGUAAACAUCCUAUUUUAUCACAUUUAUUCUUAAAGAUGAAAAUUAAUGUAUAUAUAAAAAAUUAUAAGUACGGAGAAAAGAAAAAAAAAAGGUAUAAAUGAGCAAAAUAAUUAGGCAUUUCAUUUUGUUUGUCUCUAUAGUGAAACUGAACAUUUGAGCAUACAAAAUACAAAUAUGAAUUUAGAGCAACUUGCUAGUAAAACAAGAAUUCAACAAUAUGAAGAGAGACAAAAAAGUCUUAUAAUAAUUCUUACUACAAAUAAGUAUAAAACUAACACAUCAAGCUCCGAUUCUUCAGUAAUUGAAUUCUUAUCUAUUCUCGUAACUGCAUAAGAGAAUCUCACAACUUUCACAUCAAAUUGUGUCAUUAUUUCACAUGUUUAGAGUUCCUACAUACAAGAAUUGUAGGAGUGGUAAAUAAAAGUUCUUCUUGAAAAAGUUAAAUUUAUAGAACAAAAUUAUGGAAACAUGAAAAGUCACAUGAAUUCUUGUUAAAAUAAAUAUAAAAAAGAUAGAGAUGAAAUUUAAUUUUAAAGAUACAUGAAUCUACUUUAAUUUCUUGAUAAUUACUCAUUUUUGUUUUAUUUUGCAUUUAUGUUAGAAAUUUGUAAGGUCAAGAUUAUGAAAUGAGAAUAAGAAGAUUAUAUAUAUAUAUAUAUAUUAGUUUUAAUUUAUUAGAGGGGCAAAAUGGUAAUUCAACUUUUAAGUUUUGAGCUUCAUGCUUAUAAUAAUAUAAGAUGAUUAGUUCGAGUUCAAAUUUAUUCAAGAAAAAAAUAUUUCUUACUUAAUGUUUUUUUUUUAUAAAUAUCAAAACUCAAAUAUAUUUGGCUUUUCGAUUAAGAGUGAAAGAAUCUAACUGUUCGAAUAAUCUCACUCGAUGAAAGUUCUACUAACACAAAUUCAAGAGAGUUGGGAACCAAAAUAAGCAACAAAAAUAUAAAAGUAACUAAAAUAAGCCACUAUUUUAGUAAGUAACUAAAAUAAGCUUAGUGGAAGAAAAAGUUCCACUAUAUCCAAUUUUCUAAACGUUUUCCAUUACUGUCAUAAUGUUUAUUUUUAAUAUAUAACGGAACUUUUUCUUCCACUUUAUAAAGUGGAACUUUUUAUUCCACUUUAUAAAGUGGAAGAAAAUCUUCCAAUUUAUGAAAAGUUACCUUUUCAUUUUCACCUUCACCUUCUCUCAUUUUUCUUUUCAUGGCUUCCAAAAAAAAAAUCACUUUGAAGAUGGUCAUCUACAUCAAAAAUUCACUUUAAAAAAAUAAGUGUUAGACAUAGCGAUAAUCAUCUGCGUCAAAAGUAGGCGAGACAUGAAAAUUUGAGGAUGUCCCAACAUUUUCCGUCAUUUCAAAGUGUGAGGACUAACCAAAAUAAUUAUUUAGUCCAUAACUUGGAGCAAUAUCCCUAUCUUGCUGAGGUAAACCGCUACAAAAUAUAUAAUAAUAAGAAUAAUAAAUAAUAUAAAUAAAUAAAUAAUUGACAAAAUCAACAAACAAUAAUUGAAAUAUAAUAAUUGAGCAUUACCGAUCACUAUCAUUGAUAGUUUUGUUUAAAUCAAAAUCAUAUCUGCCGGUAAGAGUAUUUUGAUAAUGAGUCAUUUUAGGAAAAUCAGUAGAUUGAAUUAUCAGAAAUUCAUCAAUGCUAUUAUGAUUUUCUAAUUAGGGAUGAACAUCGACUGAUAAAGGAGAACGUUGUUGACUAAUCUUAGGCUCCUUCCUAACAUAGAUUCCAAGUAUUGUUGACUUGAUUUGAUCUAUAUAGUAAUUUGGAACCCUUAAAAAGUCGGUCAACGAUUCGUCAUUAUAUAUAAUUCACUCUCCAAAAUUUACUUGUCCAUGUGAUAAAAAUGAAGUAGGGUAUUUUCCAGCUAUAAUCAAAUUAUAAUCGUAUUGUUUAUACCCAUUCAUUUAUAAAAUGAUGAAAUAAAUUUAUGAUAUCGGACAUUUAUUGGAUAUUUAGCAUUGUGUUUGUGAGGACAAUUAUAAUAAAUGGUAUUUCCGUCAUGUAUAAUUUCGCCAUCCUAAUAAAUUGAAACUUUAACUAUAGGUGUAGAAGAUAUUUUUUUUUAGAUUGAAAUGAACAAAUAUAGAAGACUUUAUGUUGUAGGUGCUAUCGACUAUGUAUAAACGUCCUUAAAUAGAUUUUUCAAAAUAAAAUAAUAAAAAUACAUAAUGAAAUAUUUUUUUCUGUUUUAAUGACAUAUCAAAUCAAUAUAAUUUAUAUGACAACACUGAAAAAACUUAUUCAAGACGUGAAAAAUAUUUUUCUUGUAAAAUGUAAUAAAAAGUUCCACUUUAUAAAGUGGAAUAAAAAGUUUCACUUUAUAAAGUGAAAGAAAAAACUCCACUUUAUAAAGUGUAAGAAAAAAUUUCGUUAUAUAUUAAAAAUAAACGUUAUGAAAUUAACAGAAAACGUUUAAAUUAUUGGAUACAGUGAAACUUUUUCUUCCACUGAGCUUAUUUUAGUUAUUACUAAAAUAGUGAAUUAUUUUAAUUACUUUUAUAUUUUUGUGAAUUAUUUUGGUUUCUAACUCAAUUCAAGAUGGUCCUAGCUCUUACCUACUUUGGACAAAGUAGUUGAAAGUCACAUCAAUUCUCCCUCUUUUGUAAAAAUUAUCAUAUUAUUGCCAGUAUAUUAUAUUAUUAUUGCUUCCACUCCAUAAGUGAAAAAUCAAAGACGGAAUGGGAAGAUGCAUGAGUAUUUUUUAGAUUAUAAUGAAAUUUCAGAGACACAUUUUAAAUAAAUUAAGGUUUUAUUAUUUUUUUUGAACUAAUUUUUUUUUUUUUUGUAAUUUUGUUCACCUUUUGACUUACGUGAAAUCCAAAUAUCUUCCACGUACCUCAAUUGCUUGAAGUCACGUAAUACAAAAGUCGUACAAAAUUACAAAAAAAAGUUAAAAAAAAUAAUAUGACAUUUGUUUAGUUAAGAUGUGUCUGAAAUUUUGAUAGAAGUCUAGAGGGUAAUUAUGCAUUUUUCCAUAAUAAUAGAAAGAUAUUUGUGAUUAGUGAGUACAUGGUGAAAGGUUACUAGUCACCGAGCAUCCAAAUACAUUGGCAUUCCUUAAAUUUAUCAGUAACUUUAAUUUAGACAUUCUAAUUAUGAAUGUUAUAAAUAAAUCUUGUCACCUGACAUUUUCGAGUUUCAACUCAAAAUUUUGAGAAAACUUUUACCGUUAUUUUUAAGUGUAUAUAAUAAGUUAAAGUUAAAUCACCUAAAAUACGUCAGCAUAUACGAAUGACACAUAUUAUAUAAACAAAGUAUUAUAGUAAGUGAAAGUGUAUCAAAACAUUUUAACACAUAGUUUGCGAACUUCUAAAAUGGCUACUCCUCAACAACCUUUGUUAACAAAAACACACAAACAAAAUUCCAUAAUCAGCUUCAAGAUCCUCACUUUUGUUGUAACUUUGUUUGUUGCUCUCUUCUUAGUUGUGUUUCUUGUUGCUCCAUAUCAAUUUGAGAUUAAACAUUCUAAUCUGUGUAAAACUGCACAAGAUUCCCAACUCUGUCUCAGUUAUGUUUCUGAUUUAAUAUCCAAUGAAAUUGUCACAUCUGAUUCAGAUGGACUAAGUAUUCUGAAGAAAUUUUUAGUUUACUCUGUUCAUCAAAUGAACAAUGCAAUUCCAGUGGUUCGCAAAAUCAAGAAUCAGAUCAAUGACAUUCGUGAACAAGGGGCUUUAACUGAUUGUCUUGAGCUUCUUGAUCUGUCAGUUGAUUUAGUAUGUGAUUCAAUUGCAGCAAUUGAUAAGAGAAGUCGUUCGGAGCAUGCCAAUGCGCAAAGUUGGCUAAGUGGUGUGCUUACUAACCACGUUACGUGCUUGGAUGAGCUUGAUUCCUUUACUAAAGCUAUGAUAAAUGGAACGAAUCUUGAUGAGUUGAUCUCGAGAGCUAAGGUAGCAUUGGCGAUGCUUGCGUCUGUGACAACUCCAAAUGAUGAAGUUUUGAGGCCGGGUUUAGGAAAAAUGCCAUCUUGGGUGAGUUCGAGGGAUAGGAAGCUGAUGGAGAGUUCGGGUAAGGACAUUGGAGCGAAUGCAGUGGUGGCAAAAGAUGGAACAGGGAAAUAUCGAACACUUGCUGAAGCUGUUGCUGCAGCACCAGAUAAGAGUAAGACGCGUUAUGUAAUUUAUGUAAAGAGGGGAACUUAUAAAGAGAAUGUUGAGGUGAGUAGCAGGAAAAUGAAUUUGAUGAUUAUUGGUGAUGGCAUGUAUGCUACCAUCAUUACUGGGAGCCUUAAUGUUGUCGAUGGAUCAACAACCUUCCACUCUGCCACUCUUGGUAGGCUUUAAAUAACUUAUGUAUAUAUAGUAGAUGUUGAAUUCUUUGGCCUCUUCGUAUAUAUACUUUUGAUAUUUCAAACCCCCUUACUGAAAAUCCUUGCUCCGCCAUCAUGACCUAGGAUUAAGGAUUGUGUUAUUUGUAGUUCAUAUUUGAUUAAUGAACAAGUGUACGUAUAUACUCGUGAAUUUUCAUCAUAUUGCAGCUGCAGUUGGCAAAGGAUUUAUACUACAGGACAUAUGUAUACAGAACACAGCAGGACCAGCUAAACACCAAGCUGUUGCACUUCGAGUUGGAGCUGAUAAGUCUGUCAUAAAUCGUUGUCGUAUCGAUGCUUAUCAAGACACCCUUUAUGCACAUUCUCAAAGGCAAUUCUAUCGAGACUCCUACGUGACAGGUACUUGUGAAGUAGAUUACCUCAAAUGUGCUAUACUCUCUAUUGAACUCGGUAUUAAAAAGUUCAAAUCUUGAAUCCAUCUCUGCAGGGACUAUUGAUUUCAUAUUCGGUAAUGCAGCAGUUGUAUUCCAGAAAUGCCAGCUCGUAGCUAGAAAACCGGGUAAAUACCAGCAAAACAUGGUGACUGCACAAGGCAGGACGGACCCAAAUCAGGCCACGGGGACAUCAAUUCAGUUUUGUGAUAUAAUAGCAAGUCCUGACCUAAAACCAGUCGUGAAAGAAUUCCCAACAUAUCUUGGUAGGCCAUGGAAAAAAUAUUCAAGAACUGUAGUGAUGGAAUCAUACUUGGGUGGUCUCAUUGAUCCAUCGGGUUGGGCUGAGUGGCACGGAGAUUUUGCGUUAAAGACAUUGUAUUAUGGUGAAUUUAUGAAUAAUGGACCUGGUGCUGGUACUAGUAAGCGUGUCAAGUGGCCUGGCUAUCAUGUCAUUACUGACCCCGCUGAAGCUAUGUCAUUCACUGUGGCUAAGCUGAUUCAGGGCGGAUCAUGGUUGAGGUCUACUGACGUGGCGUAUGUGGAUGGAUUAUAUGAUUAGAGUGAUAUAAAAUUACUCUUUGUUUAUGUAACAAGACAUCUUUAAAAAGUUCAAAGUAAGUAGUAGUAAUAUAUCCAUAUGAAGUGCCACAUGAGCAGGGCAGAGCCGGGAUUAAGUGUCUAAAGCAUAACACACAACUCUAGUGUGACAAGCAUUUACAUGGCUCAUUCCUUACUACUAAGUCGUCAAUAAGUUCAGUUAAGGGGUUCAUAAGUUAAUAUACGUAUAUAUAUUUAUGUUGGCGAUAAAGCUGAAACUGAUGAUGCUUUAAUGUAAUUAUAGUUUUCUGAAAAAGGAUAUGUGUAAUAUUAGGUUUUCCCUGAUGUUUAUGGUUGUGGGGUGGUGGUUAUGAUAAAAAUAUGCAAGAUGAAAGUCAUUGUGUUACCUUUUGGCAGUUUCAUGUUUAUUCUUCUUUUUCUUUUGAUUUAUUUCGAUUUUUUAGUUGGGGGAAUUACGCAGUUAGACAAACAUAUACUAGUUAACUAGCUAACACGGCUACAAUUUGUAUUAAUUACGAUUAGGAACUUACUUCUAGAUAUAAUUGCAUUCCCCCCUCUCUCUCUCCCUCUUUCGAGAAUCUCGCUCGCAACUCUCCUUUUUUCAGUCAUCUCUCCCUUCCCAGUCUCUCUCUCUCGAUUCUCUUCUGUCAGUCUCUCUCUCUUACUUUAUACAAAUACAAAAACACAAAUGUAUAUUUUGAAACUUCGUUUGAUGCUUCAUUGUUCUAUGAUGAGACUUGAAGCAGACUUCAUCUUACUUGAAUACUUCGACAUCCACUUCUCUUCAUUCUCAAGUUAUAAUUUUUUUCUAAGAGAGAUUAUUCGUAGUUAUUAGGUAUUCAAUACUUAUUAGUUUGAUUAGUUCGAGUUCAAAUCUAUUAAAGAAAGAAACACUUUAAAUCUACGACCUUCAGUUAAGAAUGAAAGAAUGCAAUCGAUUCUAAUAAUCUCACCUCAAAGUUCUACUAACACAAUUUCAAGAUGAUCCUAACUCCUACCUACUUUGGACUAAGUAAGUUAAGUCACAUCAAUUCUCCCUCUUUUGUCAAAUUUAUCAUAUUACUGGCAAGAAAACUUUUGCGAGUAUUUUCAAGCAUUCAUUAUUAUAUACGUUAGAGUUAAACCACCUAAAAUACGUCAGCGUAUAUGAAUUACACAUAUUUUAAGUGAGUAUUCCAAAACAUCCAACACAUGACAGAGUUACAAACUUCUAAAAGAAUGGCUACUCCUCUACAACCUUUCUUAACAAAAACACACAAACAAAAUCCCAUAAUCGGCUUCAAUAUCCUCACUUUUGUUGUAACUUUGUUUGUUGCUCUCUUCUUAGUUGUGUUUCUUGUUGCUCCAUAUCAAUUUGAGAUUAAACAUUCUAAUCUGUGUAAAAGUGCACAAGGUUCCCAACUCUGCCUUAGUUAUGUCUCUGAAAUUGUCACAACAGAAUCAGAUGGAGUAACUGUUCUGAAGAAAUUUCUAGUUAAAUAUGUCCAUCAAAUGAACAAUGCAAUUCCAGUGGUUCGCAAAAUCAAGAAUCAGAUCAAUGACAUUCGUCAACACGGGGCUUUAACUGAUUGUCUUGAGCUUCUUGAUCAGUCAGUUGAUUUAGUAUCUGAUUCAAUUGCAGCAAUUGAUAAAAGAAGUCGUUUGGAGCAUGCCAAUGUGCAAAGUUGGCUAAGUGGUGUGCUUACAAACCACGUUACGUGUUUAGAUGAGCUUACUUCGUUAAGUACUAAGAAUGGAACGGUUCUUGAUGAGUUGAUCACGAGAGCUAAGGUAGCAUUGGCGAUGCUUGCAUCCGUGACAACUCCAAAUGAUGAAGUUUUGAGGCAGGGUUUAGGAAAAAUGCCAUAUUGGGUGAGUUCGAGGGAUAGGAAGCUGAUGGAGAGUUCGGGUAAGGACAUUAUAGCGAAUGCAGUGGUGGCACAAGAUGGAACGGGGGAUUAUCAAACACUUGCUGAAGCUGUUGAUGCUGCACCAGAUAAGAAUAAGACGCGUUAUGUAAUUUAUGUAAAGAUGGGAAUUUAUAAAGAGAAUGUUGUGGUGACUAAGAAAAAAAUGAACUUAAUGAUUGUUGGUGAUGGCAUGAAUGCUACCAUCAUUACUGGUAGCCUUAAUGUUGUCGAUGGAUCAACAACCUUCCGCUCUGCCACUCUUGGUAAGGUUUCAACAACUUAUGUAUAUAUAGUAGAUGUUGAACCCUUUAGCGUCUUUGUUAUGUAUACUUUUGAUAUUUCAAACACCCUUAAUGAAAAUCCUGGUUCCGCUAUCAUGAGCAAGUGUAACAUAUACUAGUGCAUUUUCAUAAUAUUGCAGCUGCAGUUGGCCAAGGAUUUAUACUACAGGACUUAUGUAUACAGAACACAGCAGGGCCAGAGAAAGGCCAAGCAGUGGCACUUCGAGUUGGAGCUGAUAUGUCUGUCAUAAAUCGUUGUCGUAUUGAUGCUUAUCAAGACACCCUAUAUGCACAUUCUCAAAGGCAAUUCUAUCGAGACUCCUACGUGACAGGUACUCGUGAAGCAGAUUACCCCAAAUGUGCUAUGCUUUCCAUUGAACUCAGUAUUAAAAAGUUCAAAAUCCUAAAUCCGUCUCUGCAGGUACUGUUGAUUUCAUAUUUGGUAAUGCAGCAGUUGUAUUCCAGAAAUGUCAGAUCGUAGCUAGAAAACCGAAUAAAAGACAGAAAAACAUGGUGACUGCACAAGGCAGGACGGACCCAAAUCAGGCCACGGGGACAUCAAUUCAGUUCUGUGACAUAAUUGCAAGUCCGGACCUUGAACCAGUCAUGAAUGAAUACAAAACAUAUCUUGGUAGGCCAUGGAAAAAACAUUCAAGAACGGUAGUGAUGCAAUCAUACCUAGAUGGUCAUAUUGAUCCAUCAGGUUGGUUUGAAUGGCGCGGAGAUUUUGCAUUGAAGACAUUGUAUUAUGGUGAAUAUAUGAACAAUGGACCUGGUGCUGGUACUAGUAAGCGUGUCAAGUGGCCUGGUUAUCAUGUCAUUACUGAUCCCAAUGAGGCUAUGCCGUUCACUGUGGCUGAGCUGAUUCAGG